UAAUCAAUCAUUAAAGGUUGGGUAUGGAAUUUGCUUUUUUGGCCAUUUUUGCAAAAUUACUUGAAAUCCUUGUCAUAACCCGCUUACAGCCACUGAGUUAGAAGUACUGACAUGAAAAUUAAACAAGUCAAUCAUCUGUGGAACGGGCAGGGCUCAAAAAACUCCAGCCAAUCAUUUGGAUUGCCACCUCGUUGCAUUGGACAGUAAGUACGUCAAUCAAACGGUCGUACUGCACUCCCCCUCCCCCGCGCCCCGCGCGCGACCCCUUCGUACUUGGAAUGGGUGGAGUCAGAGUCAGCGUUGAAGGAGAGGGGGUAGGACCAUUUGAGU